GAUGAACGCUGGCGGCGUGCCUAACACAUGCAAGUCGAACGGCAGAACUCUAGUCGGCUGGUCUGAAGGAGUGGCACACGGGUGUGAAACAUAUAAGCAACCUACUCACGAUGGCUGGGAUAAUCUCUGGAAACGGGGAUUAACACCGGGUAGGUACUGGGAAGGCGUGUUCUGAUUAGUAAUGGGUAAAAAGACUGGUGGAUGGGCUUAUGGCGCAUUUGUUGGGUGGUGGGGUAACGGCCCACCGAGACGAUGAUGCGUAGCCGGGCUGGGGGGGUGAACGGCCGCAUUGGAACUGCGACACUGCCAAGAAUACUAGGGGAGGCAGCAGAAGGGAGGUUUCGGCGAGGAAGGAAACCCCAACCGUGCAACGCCGCGUCAGUGAUGACGGGCGUCGGAUUGUAAAGCUCUGGUGUAAGAAAAGAAGCGUAGAUAGAGAAUAUCUGUAUGACGGUACCUGACGAAAAAGCAACGGCUAACUACGUG
rnacentral:rRNA from 1 species